rnacentral:rRNA from 1 species
CGCGCAGGUGAUUUCUUAAGUCUGAUGUGAAAGCCCACGGCUCAACCGUGGAGGGUCAUUGGAAACUGGGAGACUUGAGUGCAGAAGAGGAUAGUGGAAUUCCAAGUGUAGCGGUGAGAUGCGUAGAGAUUUGGAGGAACACCAGUGGCGAAGGCGACUGUCUGGUCUGUAACUGACACUGAGGAGCGAAAGCGUGGGAGCAAACA